CCUACGUGAGACAGCAGUGGGGAAUAUUGCGCAAUGGGCGAAAGCCUGACGCAGCGACGCCGCGUGAGGGAUGAAGGUCUUCGGAUCGUAAACCUCUGUCAGCAGGGAAGAACGGUCACUGUGCUAAUCAGCAGUGAAUUGACGGUACCUGCAAAGGAAGCACCGGCUAACUCCGUGCCAGCAGCCGCGGUAAUACGGAGGGUGCGAGCGUUAAUCGGAAUUACUGGGCGUAAAGCGCUCGUAGGCGGUAUGUCAAGUCAAGGGUGAAAUCCCCGCGCUCAACGUGGGAACUGCCUUUGAAACUGGCAAACUGGAGUGUGUGAGAGGAUAGUGGAAUUGCAGGUGUAGGAGUGAAAUCCGUAGAUAUCUGGAGGAACAUCAGUGGCGAAGGCGACUAUCUGGCACAUAACUGACGCUGAGGAGCGAAAGCGUGGGUAGCAAACAGGAUUAGAUACCCGGGUAGUC
rnacentral:rRNA from 1 species